UUUGCAAUGGAUGGAAAUGUUCAAAUCACUGGUACAUCAGUGGCACAAAGGGCAACUCUUCUCAUGGUCCAUGCAGCAGCUAAGGACAGGGUAAGGGGUAGGAGCUGCUGGCUCCAGCCACAGACCUGCUUCAGCCAUUGCUGAACAAUUGCUUAGUUUGUCUGUUCAUUGCAUUUUUAAAAUAUAAACUGGAAGUAAUCUGGUUUGUUGAUUUCAUUUGCUUUUACAAAAGAAAAAAAGAUGACAACACAAAUGACUACUUGAUACAUCUGUAAAUGCAUCAGGCAAAUGGUAUCAGGCAAAGUGAAGGUAUGUUUGGGGUUUUUCCCCUUGAAUAUUUUAUUAAUAUUCCUGUGAUUAGCACUGAGCAAGCUGAGACCUGAAUUUCUGCUGCUGUGCUAAGGCAACAGGAGACACCUCCCUCAGCCAAAUUUCUAGUGAACUUUCUGAAGACAACAAUGGGGAAAGCACCACAGGAUCCCUAGGGGAACAACACCAUCUCCUGACAUUUUUAGACGAAUUGCUGGGGAAGCCUGACACUGAGGCUGCUGGAUUCUGUGGAAUUAACAUUAUCUCAACUUCAGCUUUCCUCCUUGAAUCUAACUCUGUAUAAGUAGAAUGCAAAGUGAUUUUUUUGUAUAUGUGAUAUGAUAAUUAAAGUUAACAUUUUCUCUGCACUUGCUACUCUGAACUGUAAAGGAAAGCCAAAUGAAUUGUCAAGGAGACAUAGUGGAAAUUAAUGAUGGGGAUAGAACUCAGAAGGGCUCUGGACAUCUGGGCUCAGUGCUCUGCUGAACACCAGUAAUUGGUUAAAAUCUGUUAAUAUCACCUGAGGUGAAUGUCCUAAGCUUUCCCUGACAACUCUGCUGGCUGCUAGCUAUGCUUUUGUGCCUUCAUUUCCAGCCCAGGGCCAGACACACUCCUUUCCAUUUCCUCGGGAAGAAGACUGAGUGAAAUUAGCAGAUGACUGCGGCAACUGUAUCGCCUCUUUGCUCUGUCCCUUGCAGCCUGCACUCACUGCCAGUGGUCAACCUACCUGGUCACAGGGGCAAUGUGAAAGAAGUAAAGGAGGAAAUUCAAGUGCAAGAAGCAGAAGAAGGAUGA
rnacentral:lncRNA from 1 species